rnacentral:tRNA from 1 species
GGUGGGUUGGCUCAGUGGUUGGAGCUUAGGUGUCGUAACCGAAAGGUCGCGGGAUCGAAUCCCGCUAGAGGCUG